GGAGGGAUCAUUAAAGAGUUCUAUAACUCCCAAACCCAUGUGAACAUACCUAACGUUGCCUCGGCAGGUCGCACCUACCUUGUAGCACCCUACCCUGUAGGGCCUACCCGGGAGAUGCGGGUAAGCCUGCCGGCGGCCCACCAAACUCUGUUUGAUAUUGAAUUCUGAACAUAUAACUAAAUAAGUUAAAACUUUCAACAACGGAUCUCUUGGUUCUGGCAUCGAUGAAGAACGCAGCGAAAUGCGAUAAGUAAUGUGAAUUGCAGAAUUCAGUGAAUCAUCGAAUCUUUGAACGCAUAUUGCGCCCAUUAGUAUUCUAGUGGGCAGGACCGUUCGAGCGUCAUUUCGACCCUUAAGCCUUAGUUGCUUAGUGUUGGGAGCCUACGGCGACGUAGCUCCUCAAAGUUAGUGGCGGAGUUGGUUCACACUCUAGACGUAGUAAUUUUUUAUCUCGCCUAUUAGUUGGACUGAUCCCCUGCCGUAAAACCCCCAACUUAUCAAGGUUGACCUCGAAUCGGUUCAGACAAACUCGCUAAAUUGAAGCAUCUUAGUCAGCGAAGGAAAAGAAACCAACAGGGAUUGCCCUAGUAACGGCGAGUGAAGCGGCAACAGCUCAAAUUUGAAAUCUGGCCCU
rnacentral:rRNA from 1 species